GACGAACGCUGGCGGCGUGCUUAACACAUGCAAGUCGAACGGAAAGGCCCUGCUUUUGUGGGGUGCUCGAGUGGCGAACGGGUGAGUAACACGUGAGUAACCUGCCCUUGACUUUGGGAUAACUUCAGGAAACUGGGGCUAAUACCGGAUAGGAGCUCCUGCUGCAUGGUGGGGGUUGGAAAGUUUCGGCGGUUGGGGAUGGACUCGCGGCUUAUCAGCUUGUUGGUGGGGUAGUGGCUUACCAAGGCUUUGACGGGUAGCCGGCCUGAGAGGGUGACCGGCCACAUUGGGCCUGAGAUACGGCCCAGAAUCCUACGGGAGGCAGCAGUGGGGAAUAUUGCACAAUGGGCGGACGCCUGAUGCAGCAACGCCGCGUGCGGGAUGACGGCCUUCGGGUUGUAAACCGCUUUCGCCUGUGACGAAGCGUGAGUGACGGUAAUGGGUAAAGAAGCACCGGCUAACUACGUG
rnacentral:rRNA from 1 species